GGUGCUGUAGCUUAAAGGCCUAAAAGCAUUUGUGCACAGCGCAGGAGAUACGGGUUCAAGUCCCGUCAGCACCU
rnacentral:tRNA from 1 species